GGAGAAACUAACGUUUCCUUCUUCCUUUUGGGAAGUCCUAGGUUUGAAAUGCCCUGGAUUUGAGCCACAUUACCCCUCAGGGACUAGCCCUGAAAAAGACCACAUUGUAGACAGCUGCGGCAAUGCGCAGUCACUACUCAACCUUUCUCUCUCACUCAAAUCCGGGAUCCUGAAGUAAUCAGAAAUAGAUUCUUGUCAAUUGGUCUUACUGGCAUAAAUGUUAGAGAUCAGAAUACAUUUUAAAAGAGCUUCAGUGAUAGUAUGUGGUACUUCCAAAGUUUUCAAAACCUAAAGACUAGACAGGCAGAAUAACAACUUGUUUGUUCAUUUGUUUGUUUGUUUUGAGACAGAGUGUUGUUCUGUCACCCAGGCUGAAGUGCAGUGGCUCAAUCUCAACUCACUGAAACCUCUACUUGUUGGGUUCAAGCGAUUCUCCUGCCACAGCCUCCCCAGUAGCUGGGACUACAGGUGUGCCCCAUGACACUUGGCUAAUUUUUUUGUAUUUUUAGUAGAGAUGGGGUUUCGCCAUGUUGGCCAAGCUAGUCCGGAACUCCUGAUCUCCGAUGAUCCAUCCACUUUGGCCUCCCAAAGUGCUGGAAAUACAAGUGUGAGCCACUAUACCCAGCCAGAAUAACAACCUUCUAAAGAAGUCUUUCUUUUUCUCUCUUUACAGGAUUUGGGAGACAUCGUGGCAAGAACACUGCAGAAAUCCUGUUCCUGAGUCUGCAAAUGGCCCCAGACCAGGAUGGGAGCUGCCCAGAGUGGUCUUGGGCUGGACUGAGUCCUGGCAUCCAAAGAGGGAGGCUUAUGUGACUGCCUCCACUAUCCAAAAGUUCUGGGUGCAGACAAAGGGAGCACAGAGCUGCUGGAAGCCCAGUGGGAAGGCACAUCUAAGAGCAGUGAGCUCUGGAAUGCUACAGGCAUGUGUGGAUAACUGCAGCUCCAUGGCGGCCAAGGAGAUAUCUGCGCCUGAGUAAGGUCACCUGACCACAGACAGCACCAGGGGCUGGGGGGCUAAGACGGAGAUCUUGAGAAGGCUGGACCUGAGCUAAAGUUGUAACUUAGAUGGUGAUCUGAAUAAGGAAAAAAAGAAUAAAGGCUGGAAGUCAAACCCAUUGUUUAGGGUACAGAAGUAUACAGCUAAGUUCCAGGUGUCCAGACCAUAGCACAAGGAGAACAGGAAUUCUCUUGAGUUAAGGCAAAAUCAAUCUUCACCCAUCUGGGAUCUUCCAUUGCAUGAUGUGGAAAGGAAACUACUAGGCAGAGGUCAUUUCUCUCCCCACCUCCUGCUACUGCCAGUGAAGACUCUGAAAGCUUCUGCAGGCCCAGGCCAGAAUGGUGUUGCCAGCCCACAGUGGCGGGCCCUGGGAACGGUCGGUGUGACCAGCUCUGGUA
rnacentral:lncRNA from 1 species